GAUAGAGGCCCCGAGCGUUAGGCGGAAUCACUGGGCUUAAAGCGUGUGUAGGCGGACCGGUAAGUAACCUUGUGGAAAUCCCACGGCUCCACCCGUGGAACUGCUGGGUAUACUGCCGGUCUCGGGCCAACUAGGGGCAACUGGAACAAGCGGUGGAGCGGUGAAAUGCGUAGAUAUCGCUUGGAACGCCGAAGGUGAAACGGUGCUGGGGUUGUGACCGACGCUGAGACACGAAAGCCAGGGGAGCGAACGGG
rnacentral:rRNA from 1 species